AUUCAAGAACCUAGUGAAAUAAAAUCCCAUAAACCACAUUAGCAACAACCUUAAUUAGCAGAAAAAAAUAAAAUUAGGUGAGAAGUUUAUUUGGUAAUAGCAUUUUUAAUUAGUUAUUCUUGCAAGAACCUCAGCGAAGUGUAGGUGACAAUUUGUAACCAAAAAAUGUUACUAGCAGCUAGGAUAGUUUCUUGCACUCUUUCUUAACAUUGGCAAACCAUAAUUAACGAAGUAAAUUACAAGUAAUUAAUGAUGUUUACCGUCCGGGACCCUAGACUUUUUCUCUUUGAAUAUUUUUUAUUAGAUGGUUAAAUAACACAAAACGAGUCAAGUCAACUUGGAAAUAUACACAAAGUAAAACAUUUUAUUUAAAAUUCAGGCACCUAAAUGAUCUUUGAUACGUAAUUUAAAUAUAAUUAGGCCGGUUGGAAAUAUUCAACCCUUUAUAAUAGUUUAAUUAUUUCACUGCUUUAAUCUGAUCACCUACCUACCACAUCAUCUCUCUCUCUCUAUUUUUUUUUGUCCUUGCUGGACUUCCACGUACAACUUACCAACCUAACAAUAACAAGUUAACAAGACUGCUGAUGAAACGUGUGCGAGCUAAUUUCAGGCAUUUUCCAGGAUAGUGAAGGAGCACCUCAUAAAUUAAGGCUCACAUGCACUUGGAGUAUCUUCCUCCCUAACAAAAACUCCUUAGAUUUUAAUUUUUAAUUUUUUUUUAAUCUUUAUGACACAAUACAUCAUCUCCCAUCUUAACAAUCGAUCAUUAAUUAUUGCUAUAUGUCUUGGGAUUUUUGCCAGUAAUGAU